AGAGUUUGAUCCUGGCUCAGAACGAACGCUGGCGGCGUGCUUAAGACAUGCAAGUCGAACGGUAAGGCCGACUACCUUCGGGUAGUUGGUGCACGAGUGGCGCACGGGUGAGUAACGCGUGGGUAAUCUGCCUUCGGGUUUGGGACAACUCCGGGAAACUGGAGCUAAUACCAAAUAAGACCACGAGGUCUUCGGACUUUGCGGAAAAAGGUGGCCUCUUCUUGAAAGCUAUCGCCUGUAGAUGAGCCCGCGUCCCAUUAGCUUGUUGGUGAGGUAACGGCUCACCAAGGCAUCGAUGGGUAGCUGGUCUGAGAGGAUGAUCAGCCACACUGGAACUGAGACACGGUCCAGACUCCUACGGGAGGCAGCAGUCGGGAAUCUUGCACAAUGGGCGAAAGCCUGAUGCAGCAACGCCGCGUGAGGGAUGAAGGCCCUCGGGUCGUAAACCUCUGUCGGAAGGGAAGAAAGUAUUCCGGGCCAAUACCCCGGGGUAUCGACGGUACCUUCAAAGGAAGCGCCGGCUAACUCCGUGCCAGCAGCCGCGGUAAUACGGAGGGCGCGAGCGUUAUUCGGAAUCAUUGGGCGUAAAGCGCGUGUAGGCGGCUGGGCAAGUCGGAUGUGAAAGCCCGGGGCUCAACCCCGGAAUUGCAUUCGAAACUGCUCAGCUAGAGUCUCGGAGAGGAGGGCGGAAUUCCCGGUGUAGAGGUGAAAUUCGUAGAUAUC
rnacentral:rRNA from 1 species